AUUGAACGCUGGCGGCGUGCUUAACACAUGCAAGUCGAACGAAGUGGCGAACGGGUGAGUAACGCGGAAUCAACCUGCCCUUCAGAGGGGGAUAACAGUUGGAAACGACUGCUAAUACCGCAUACUGAAGGAGGGGAUUGAGUCUGAUUAGCUAGUUGGAGGGGUAACGGCCCACCAAGGAGAUGAUCAGUAGCCGGUCUGGGAGGAUGGACGGCCACAUUGGGACUGAGACACGGCCCAGACUCCUACGGGAGGCAGCAGUGGGGAAUCUUCCGCAAUGGGCGAAAGUCUGACGGAGCAACGCCGCGUGAGUGAUGACGGCCUUCGGGUUGUAAAGCUCUGUUAAUCGGGACGCGGUACCGGAAUAGAAAGCCACGGCUAACUACGUGCCAGCAGCCGCGGUAAUAC
rnacentral:rRNA from 1 species